rnacentral:rRNA from 1 species
GAUGAACGCUGGCGGCGUGCCUAAUACAUGCAAGUCGAGCGAACGGACGAGAAGCUUGCUUCUCUGAUGUUAGCGGCGGACGGGUGAGUAACACGUGGAUAACCUACCUAUAAGACUGGGAUAACUUCGGGAAACCGGAGCUAAUACCGGAUGAUAUUUUGAACCGCAUGGUUCAAAAGUGAAAGACGGUCUUGCUGUCACUUAUAGAUGGAUCCGCGCUGCAUUAGCUAGUUGGUAAGGUAACGGCUUACCAAGGCAACGAUGCAUAGCCGACCUGAGAGGGGAAUCGGCCCAACUGGAACUGAAACACGGUCCAGACUCCAACGGGAGGCAGCAGUGGGGAAUCUUCCGCAAUGGGCGAAAGCCUGACGGAGCAACGCCGCGGGGGUGAUGAAGGUCUUCGGAUCGUAAAACUCUGUUAUUGGGGAAAAAAAUAUUUGUAAGUAAUUGUGAACAUCUUGACGGUACCUAAUCAGAAAGCCACGGCUAACUACGG